rnacentral:rRNA from 1 species
GAUGAACGCUGGCGGCGUGCCUAAUACAUGCAAGUCGAGCGAACAGACGAGGAGCUUGCUCCUCUGACGUUAGCGGCGGACGGGUGAUUAACACGUGGAUAACCUACCUAUAAGACUGGGAUAACUUCGGGAAACCGGAGCUAAUACCGGAUAAUAUAUUGAACCGCAUGGUUCAAUAGUGAAAGACGGUUUUGCUGUCACUUAUAGAUGGAUCCGCGCCGCAUUAGCUAGUUGGUAAGGUAACGGCUUACCAAGGCAACGAUGCGUAGCCGACCUGAGAGGGUGAUCGGCCACACUGGAACUGAGACACGGCCCAGACUCCUACGGGAGGCAGCAGUAGGGAAUCUUGCGCAAUGGGCGAAAGCCUGACGGAGCAACGCCGCGUGAGUGAUGAAGGUCUUCGGAUCGUAAAACUCUGUUAUUAGGGAAGAACACAUGUGUAAGUAACUAUGCACGUCUUGACGGUACCUAAUCAGAAAGCCACGGCUAACUACGUG